AGUGAACGCUGGCGGUAGGCCUAACACAUGCAAGUCGAACGGCAGCACAGGAGAGCUUGCUCUCUGGGCGGCGAGUGGCGGACGGGUGAGGAAUACAUCGGAAUCUACUCUGUCGUGGGGGAUAACGUAGGGAAACUUACGCUAAUACCGCAUACGACCCACGGGUGAAAGCAGGGGACCUUCGGGCCUUGCGCGAUUGAAUGAGCCGAUGUCGGAUUAGCUAGUUGGCGGGGUAAAGGCCCACCUAGGCGACGAUCCGUAGCUGGUCUGAGAGGAUGAUCAGCCACACUGGAACUGAGACACGGUCCAGACUCCUACGGGAGGCAGCAGUGGGGAAUAUUGGACAAUGGUCGCAAGCCUGAUCCAGCCAUACCGCGUGGGUGAAGAAGGCCUUCGGGUUGUAAAGCCCUUUUGUUGGGAAAGAAAUCCAGCUGGCUAAUACCCGGUUGGGAUGACGGUACCCAAAGAAUAAGCACCGGCUAACUUCGUGCCAGCAGCCGCCGCCG
rnacentral:rRNA from 1 species